UUAACUCAAAAUUGUAUAGAGUUGGAAAGUUUGCUUUCGUUUGCCGCUAGGGACACUGUUCCAAUUGCAAAAAAAUUUGAGUUA
rnacentral:pre_miRNA from 1 species